rnacentral:rRNA from 2 species
UACGUAGGGUACAAGCGUUGUCCGGAAUUAUUGGGCGUAAAGAGCUCGUAGGUGGUCUGUCACGUCUGCUGUGGAAACGCAAGGCUCAACCUUGCGCGUGCAGUGGGUACGGGCGGACUAGAGUGCAGUAGGGGAGUCUGGAAUUCCUGGUGUAGCGGUGAAAUGCGCAGAUAUCAGGAGGAACACCGGUGGCGAAGGCGGGACUCUGGGCUGUAACUGACGCUGAGGAGCGAAAGCAUGGGGAGCGAACAGG